UAAAGAAGCUAUAUAAGUAAUUGAAGAUUAGUUUGAAAAAAUAGCAUUAUAUUACAAAAAGAAUAAAUUGAAUAAUUCUUCCAAGUGGUUUACAUUUGGACAAAAAAUUAGACCGUAGUUUCAAGCUGC
rnacentral:sRNA from 1 species